rnacentral:rRNA from 1 species
UACGGAGGGGGCUAGCGUUGUUCGGAUUUACUGGGCGUAAAGGGCACGUAGGCGGUUAUUCAAGUCGGGGGGGAAAGCCCGGGGCUCAACCCCGGAACUGCCCUCGAAACUAGGUAGCUAGAAUCUUGGAGAGGCGAGUGGAAUUCCGAGUGUAGAGGUGAAAUUCGUAGAUAUUCGGAAGAACACCAGUGGCGAAGGCGACUCGCUGGACAAGUAUUGACGCUGAGGUGCGAAAGCGUGGGGAGCAAACAGG